rnacentral:rRNA from 1 species
AGUGAACGCUGGCGGUAGGCCUAACACAUGCAAGUCGAACGGCAGCACAGAGGAGCUUGCUCCUUGGGUGGCGAGUGGCGGACGGGUGAGGAAUACAUCGGAAUCUACUCUGUCGUGGGGGAUAACGUAGGGAAACUUACGCUAAUACCGCAUACGACCUACGGGUGAAAGCAGGGGACCUUCGGGCCUUGCGCGAUUGAAUGAGCCAAUGUCGGAUUAGCUAGUUGGCGGGGUAAAGGCCCACCAAGGCGUCGAUCCGUAGCUGGUCUGAGAGGAUGAGCAGCCACACUGGAACUGAGACACGGUCCAGACUCCUACGGGAGUCAGCAGUGGGGAAUAUUGGAAAAUGGGCGCAAGCCUGAUCCAGCCAUACCGCGUGGGUGAAGAAGGCCUUCGGGUUGUAAAGCCCUUUUGUUGGGAAAGAAAUCCAGCUGGCUAAUACCCGGUUGGGAUGACGGUACCCAAAGAAUAAGCACCGGCUAACUUCGUGCCAGCAGCCGCGGUAA